UACGUAGGGUGCGAGCGUUGUCCGGAAUUACUGGGCGUAAAGAGCUCGUAGGUGGUUUGUCGCGUUGUUCGUGAAAACCUGAGGCUUAACCUUGGGCGUGCGGGCGAUACGGGCAGACUGGAGUACUGCAGGGGAGACUGGAAUUCCUGGUGUAGCGGUGGAAUGCGCAGAUAUCAGGAGGAACACCGGUGGCGAAGGCGGCAUCCUGGACCAACACUGACACUGAGGAGCGAAAGCCAGGGGAGCAAACGGG
rnacentral:rRNA from 1 species